rfam:Stegodyphus mimosarum contig32077, whole genome shotgun sequence.
GCCUUCAUGGUGUAGUGGUCAGCACGCCUGACGCGUAACCGAGAGGUCCGUGGUUCGAUUCUCGGCGAAGGCG